rnacentral:lncRNA from 1 species
GUCAACGGAUUCCCUUCGAUCUCCCAUGCUCGUCCGCUCAUCCGUUCUGCCAUCAAUCUCAUUUCCACACAAUUUCCAUUCUGGAAUCGUUCCGAUGGAUCUGAUCACGUCUUCGUUGCCUCGCACGACUUCGGAUCAUGCUUUCACGCUAUGGAAGACAUCGCCAUCAGUGAUGGGAUUCCGGAUUUUUUAAACAAUUCUGUUUUGCUUCAAACCUUUGGGAUGAAGGGUCCACACGUAUGCCAAGACGUCGAACAUGUCCUCAUACCUCCUUUCGUCACCCCCGUUGACGACGUCUCUUUGUCUUCUCCGGAGAAUAACAGGAGAGAUAUCUU